UAAACUCUAUUUAAAUAUACAACCAAUAACAACAUCUACAUUCAAUGUAGUCAGGUUCGAGAUCCUACGUUGGAUCGGUAGGCUGGUUGAGAAUCGUAAGAUCGGGAUCGUAGCUCGAUUCGUAAGAUCAUACUCAAGGGUAAAAUUGUAACUUCACAUAUAUACAUAUACACAUAAACAUAAAAAAUAUAAUAAAUAUAAUACAUGAACAAAAUGAACUUAAUUAAUUAAUAUUUCAUAGACAUCAUUCCAAAUGUUCAUAAGUUCAUAACAGAGAGGGUUAUAAGAAGCAACAAUAGGGUUAAAAAAAACAAAAUGAAAACAGAGGGUUGAAACUUGAGAGUGAAAGAGAUGAGUUCAGAAGGUUUCAGUGAAGAAAGAUGUUUGAGUGAAAGAGAUGGUUGAAAGUAAGAGAGGAGUGAACGAAAAUGAGAAAGGAGUAGGAACAAACAUACACUAACCGCCGGCGAGGUUCACGAUGGCGACAACGCGGUCUAGAGUUCAGGUCAAAAACCCUCUAGGAUCGUAAGAACCUAUGACCCGGUGCGAGAACCUAACUACACACAGGUCAAAAAAGGAGCCUGCAUGUGUUCUAAGCUCGUUUGGCCUGCACGAACUCGUUGGAUCUUAAGAACCUAAGACCCGGUGCGAAAAUACCUGACUACAUUAUCUACAUUGAAUCUCAUUCCAUGAAACUUGACAAUAUCUUGCCUAAGCUUCCUAGUAUCAUUCCCAUAUACUUACAAAUGCAAUCCUUNNNNNNNNNNNNNNNNNNNNNNNNNNNNNNNNNNNNNNNNAACGGCAACAUACAAUUCAAGAUGCUAGGAAUUGUCUUCAUUUCUUCCUUGAUACAUUUUAAAUUAAAAGCAGCUCACAUGCCCCUACAAAUUAAACACAAGAAAACA
rnacentral:lncRNA from 1 species